rnacentral:siRNA from 1 species
UUUCAAAAUGCACCAAAAAGACCC